UAUUCUUUGGUAGUUUCGUGCUAUGCAAGUUGUGAAGAAUUGGAGAUUUCUACUUGAGCGCUCCGCUUGUACAUUGUUGGUACUAAAUUACGCGGGCCUUUUUGCGGGAUACCGUAACCACGGUGUAAGAAAGAACUGUCAUUCAUAGUGCUGUGUGAGUGCGUGUGGUCGAUUGUGUGCCCAUCGGUAUAAAGUAAAAAAUUAAACCUUCACUUCAUAAGCCCUAUCGCUUCAUCAUAUCAUACUGUUUAUUCACUUUUGCAUUACAUAUUGUAUAUACCUAUACAUAUACAGGGUGUUCCAGCCUUAGUGAUAAGACGUUCCAACUCCAAAACUAUCGACUGAAUGCAAAAUUUCAAAUAUGGAAAUUGCAUGUAUGUAAGAAAUAGCUGGAUACAUUGACAGUCGCCCCAUGCCGAGGUGACGAAAACGUGGGCCAGGCGCGCAUGGCGAUAGGGCGCGACGCUGCGACGCCAGGCCCGGUCAUAAACAAGGUCAAAGGCACUUUAAGAACCUUCAUUGACAAGGCUACGCAGAGACUUUCCCAGGCCCGGAAAGUCACUUCUUGGCCAGCAUUGGCCAGCUAUCGUCGUAUAGAGAACUCCACGAAUAAAAUCUCACUGUUAAUGAAUACUCGGCGUUUUGUACCUUGCGUUUAUUUAAUCGUCUUACAAGUAUGCAAUGUAAAAAAUAUUGUAUAAUAAAAAAGGUAAAACGUUUAUGAACAUUAUUUUUGACUAAACGUAAUUACGUAAGAAAAAGCACACUAACAAAGCGAAGGCACGGAUGUUGCAAUCGCUUUUGCAACGACACCCUAUGGGGGUCGUAGUACGCAUGUAGUACUGCAAAACCAUUUUGACUUUUUUCAGAAUGGAUGUUUGUUUUCGAUGUACAAUAAAAGCAUCUAGCAAGGUUCGUUGAAUGGAUUGGUAGAGUAUUAAAUUGUAACGCUGCUUGACCCCGGGUACGAAUCCCGAUUGAUGUAUUUUUUUUUUAUUUUAAUUUUCUAUCAGAAAUACACUUCUUGGAUAUCACGUACU